rnacentral:rRNA from 1 species
CACGUAGGGUGCAAGCGUUGUCCGGAAUUAUUGGGCGUAAAGGGCUCGUAGGCGGUCCGUCACGUCGGGAGUGAAAACUCGGGGCUCAACCCCGAGCCUGCUUCCGAUACGGGCGGACUAGAGGUAGGUAGGGGAGAACGGAAUUCCUGGUGUAGCGGUGGAAUGCGCAGAUAUCAGGAGGAACACCGGUGGCGAAGGCGGUUCUCUGGGCAUUACCUGACGCUGAGGAGCGAAAGUGUGGGGAGCGAACAGG